ACUGUUAAAAUUGCUAUAUGCUAUGCUGUAUUUGAUAACUACGUUGCCAGAACGUGUUAUGAUUGUGUCAGGUAUAUACAGUAUGCAUUUUGGAUAGGUGUCAUUAAAGAGGGAAAAAUAAUGAAGAGGAAGAAGGCAGACAUAGCGUCCUUCUUCAGGGCAAGUGGAAAGAAGACAGCUAAGGCAAAGAAUGAGGAUGAGAUGGAGAAAAAACAGGCAGAGAGUGAGGAUGAGGAGCCCCCAGAGAGCAGCAACUUAAAUGGACCUCCAGAUGUUUCUGAAAGAUUGAUUGAGAGCAGGACAGAAGAGUCCUCCCUGAGGAGUGGCCCCAGUGGAUCCCCAGAUUCCCACAGAGAAGAUUCAGACAGCGAGAGAGAGGAGCCUCCAACAACGAGUGGCGGCCCAAGUGGACCUCCAGGUAUACUCACUCUUUCACACAUACUGGACACUUUAAUUCCACUUCAGUUUUGCCCAAUCUGAUACAGUGGCCUGAUAAUUCAUAAACAGGUAUGAGUCAUACCACUCACCUCAACUUGAGUA